GUCCACGCCGUAAACGAUGAGUGCUAGAUAUUGGGGCGUAUGCCUCGGUGUCGCAGCUAACGCAUUAAGCACUCCGCCUGGGGAGUACGGUCGCAAGAUUAAAACUCAAAGGAAUUGACGGGGCCCGCACAAGCGGUGGAGCAUGUGGUUUAAUUCGAUGCUACGCGAAAACCUUACCAACCCUUGACAUCUGGGUCGCGGAUCGUAGAGAUACUUUCCUUCAGUUCGGCUGGACCCAAGACAGGUGUUGCAUGGCUGUCGU
rnacentral:rRNA from 1 species